rnacentral:rRNA from 1 species
GGGGGAAUAUUGGACAAUGGGCGCAAGCCUGAUCCAGCAAUGCCGCGUGUGUGAAGAAGGCCUGCGGGUUGUAAAGCACUUUCAGUGGGGAGGAAGGUCUUGGUACUAAUACUGCCAAGAAUUGACGUUACCCAAAGAAGAAGCACCGGCUAACUCUGUGCCAGCAGCCGCGGUAAUACAGAGGGUGCAAGCGUUAAUCGGAAUUACUGGGCGUAAAGGGCGCGUAGGUGGUUGAUUAAGUCAGAUGUGA